rnacentral:lncRNA from 1 species
AUGGUAGUUCCCAUUCUGCCCUCUUUCUUCAGGGCUCACCUGAAGACUGCAGGGAGCUUGAGGCCAUCUGCUGGGCUCCUCUUGUUGUCCCAUCGCAGCAGCUCAGAGGACACCAGUCCCAGUCCUGCUGUCUUUCUCAGGCCUCACCUGGAGGCUGCAGGGAGCUCGGGGCCAUUUGCUGAAUUCCUCAUGUUGUCUCAGUUCAGCAGGUUGGAGGACUCCAGUUCCUGUCCAGGUCCUUCUUUUUUCCUCAGAGCUCGAGAAAGAAGAGAUAUCUGGUGUCAUGGGUGUACGGUUGUAGCGGAGAAAGCAGCACAGUUUAUCCACCUACACCACCUUCCUGCUUCUCAGAAGCUCCAGUUCUGCAUCUCAAGGUUAUUCUUACCAGCUUUCGGGUGUGUUAAUUGAUGGUACAUGAACAACAACUGCUGACCACAGCUUGAGCAAAGCUGAUGUGUGCUAAUCAAACAUCUGUGUAUUAUCAGCAUCAGAACUUCAGCUGCUAUGUAACUUUAUCGGAGGAAAACUCAAGAUGCAUGUGGCUAUUCAGAUACUUGAACAAUUAAAGGAUUGCCCCCUUCCUCCAGUAUCUCAUUUAUUCUUGAACAUUUACAUUCUUCCUAAUGCAAACUCUCAGGUCCUUUUUGAUUUCUGGCCCUCACACUGAAAGUCAGUGUGUUCUGGAUAAACCCCUUGAUGCGUGUGCCAAUAUGGCACCAGCUAUAUUUCAUGUCCCUCUUGUCCCACCAUGUUAUGAAAUCUUGUGAAUCCCAUAUGAAUGUUCUUGUAAUAAAGAAGAAUUCUUGAGGGGACUACCUUGGGGA